CCUACGGGAGGCAGCAGUUAUUAAUAUUGUUCAAUGGGCGGCCGCCUGAACCAGCCAAGUAGCGUGCAGGAUGACGGCCCUACGGGUUGUAAACUGCUUUUAUACGGGAAUAACGCGCCUUACGUGUAGGGCUUUGCAUGUACCGUAUGAAUAAGGACCGGCUAAUUCCGUGCCAGCAGCCGCGGUAAUACGGAGGGUCCGGGCGUUAUCCGGAUUUAUUGGGUGUAAGGGGAGCGUAGGCCGCAUGUCAAGCGUGCUGUGAAAUGGCUGGGCUCAACCCGGGCCUUGCAGCGCGAACUGGCGGGCUUGAGUCCGCGGAAGGCAGGCGGAAUUCGUCGUGUAGCGGUGAAAUGCUUAGAUAUGACGAAGAACCCCGAUUGCGAAGGCAGCUUGCUGCAGCGGAACUGACGCUGAUGCUCGAAAGCGCGGGUAUCGAACAGGAUUAGAUACCCGAGUAGUC
rnacentral:rRNA from 1 species